CCUACGGGUGGCAGCAGUGGGGAAUAUUGGACAAUGGGCGAAAGCCUGAUCCAGCCAUGCCGCGUGUGUGAAGAAGGCCUUCGGGUUGUAAAGCACUUUCAGUGGGGAAGAAAGCCUUGGGGCUAAUACCCUCGAGGAAGGACAUCACCCACAGAAGAAGCACCGGCUAACUCCGUGCCAGCAGCCGCGGUAAUACGGAGGGUGCGAGCGUUAAUCGGAAUUACUGGGCGUAAAGCGCGCGUAGGCGGUCUGAUAAGCCGGUUGUGAAAGCCCCGGGCUCAACCUGGGAACGGCAUCCGGAACUGUCAGGCUAGAGUGCAGGAGAGGAAGGUAGAAUUCCCGGUGUAGCGGUGAAAUGCGUAGAGAUCGGGAGGAAUACCAGUGGCGAAGGCGGCCUUCUGGACUGACACUGACGCUGAGGUGCGAAAGCGUGGGUAGCAAACAGGAUUGGAUACCCCAGUAGUC
rnacentral:rRNA from 1 species